UUGCUUUCUUUAACGUGUAGCAUAAUUUGUCUUUGUCAUUCUGUGCAAGUAUUCACGGCAAAGAAAAUAUGCAGGCAUUAAAUAUUUCCUGCAUUAUUUCUCAAUCCUUGCUCAAUGAGAAAAACAUACUUAAUUUUGUAAUAUAGGAAAAAAUAGAGUUUCUGUAAUAUGUAUGUAUCUGAAACAACUACAUGCUAUGUUGAUAGGAAUUUGAUGUUUUUAUUUUUAGUAGGCAUGAUUUAGGAUUUUUGUUUCUAUUCAUGAUUUUCUAUAAAUGGGGUGUCCAACUAAUUUGAGAUAUGUUAUGAAUUUAUGAUAUCUUUACCACAUAAAAGAGUGGCAGUGUCAUCACAACAGUAUAAAAACCAAUUACUGUGGGUGUGGGCUCUAUUUUACAAAUACUAUAUAAAUAUACAAUACCAUAAUUUACGAGAAUAAAUACAACUAUCAGGAACAACAAGAGAGUGGAGUAGCAAGACUAUGAGAAGUGUUACAUUUCAAACAGAUUGAUUUCCAAGUCUGGGGAUUUUCAGAUUCAUAGUUUAUAUUGAUAGCAGUAAUGUAAUAUCUGUAUAACAUACAGUUGUUAAAUUUUUUAACGUCUCUCUGGAGCCUGCAGGAGGUGAGACCCUGGGAACGAGGAUGGGCUCAUAUUUGUUCUUAAGAGUUUUUUGUUGGGCAUAUAGAUGGGGGGAGUCGUAUAUGGGGGUAUUUUGAUAUCGUAUAUAUCAAAAUCUAAGUUAGUCCUUUAUGAACACAAUAUACAAUUACUUUAUGGUUUCCGUGUUUGGAUGGCCUGAUCCAAACACGCGGGAAUGUUGCGAGAGUUAAGAAAAGCGAGCGAAAU
rnacentral:lncRNA from 1 species